GGCCUGAUAGCUCAGUUGGUAGAGCAGUUGACUCUUAAUCAAUUGGUCCGGGGUUCGAGCCCCCGUCGGGCCACCA
rnacentral:tRNA from 1 species